rnacentral:piRNA from 1 species
UGUUGAUAAAGCAUCCUUCAA